CCCCCUUACUCAUAUUCCCUAUCAAAAAAUGUUCGUUGUUAGAAUAAAGUACAAAGAACUUCUGAAGGAUUUGCCUUCAACUGCAAUUAUAUUGUAUGCUGGCAAAACAAAACUAUCCAUAGCCGCUGCAUGUUUAUGCACCUGUCCUGAUUGAUUCGGGGACCUGUCGUUCAGCAGUUGUCGUUUGUUGAUGCGGUUCAUUGGUAUUUU
rnacentral:lncRNA from 1 species